AGCAGCCGCGGUAAUUCCAGCUCCAAUAGCGUAUAUUAAAGUUGUUGCAGUUAAAAAGCUCGUAGUUGAACUUCAGGCCUGUCCAGAUGGUCCGCCUUAAUUGGUGUGUACUGUCCUUGGGUGGGUCCUACCUUCUGGCGAAGCGGCAUGGCCUUAGUUGGUUGUGUCGGGGAACCAGGACUUUUACUGUGAAAAAUUGAGUGUUCAAAGCAGGCAUAUAUGCUCGAAUACAUUAGCAUGGAAUAAUGGAAUAGGACGAUGGUUCUAUUUUGUUGGUUCUAGGACCGUUGUAAUGAUUAAUAGGGAUAGUU
rnacentral:rRNA from 1 species